rnacentral:rRNA from 1 species
CUACAGGGGUAUCUAAUCCUGUUCGCUACCUACGCUUUCGUCCAUCAGCGUCAAUAUAGUAUCAGUGAUCUGCCUUCGCAAUCGGUAUUCUGUGUAAUAUCUAUGCAUUUCACCGCUACACUACACAUUCUAACCACUUCAUACUAAUUCAAGGUCUACAGUAUCAAUGGCAGUUCUACAGUUAAGCUGCAGACUUUCACCACUGACUUAUAGACCCGCCCACGGACCCUUUAAACCCAAUGAUUCCGGAUAACGCUUGGAUCCUCCGUAUUACCGCGGCUGCUGCAC